UUGCCAUUCCCUUCUCCAGGGCUUCUUCACAACCUAGGGAUCAAACCCAGGUUUCCUGCAUUACAGGAAGAUUCUUUACCAUCCGAGCCACCAAAUAUCCUAUAUUAUUUAUUUACUUUAUCGUAAUGUGGUCAGUACCCUUCUGUUUCUUGGUGAACCCACAGUGCCUAAAAGUGUCUCAUACAGAGUAGGUUCUUAAUAUUUAUUGAAUGAGUGAAAGAGCGAGCAAACAAAUUUCCAUUAAAAAAGGAAAUAUAAACCUGAGGGCUGUUGUUGAAUUUUACAAGAGGAAUGCCUUAGUCAGUUGUGUCAUGGUUUCAGGCAAUAGAUUUUAAACUUUUUGAGAUCCCCUAGGUAGAACCUGAAUGCAUUGCUGUCUUUUCCAGUGUCAUUUCCUUUUAAAGAAUCUUUAGUCCAGUAGUCUGAAAGUGAGCAGUUCGGAUUAGGCCAUGAUGACCUGAUAAUGUCAUGUGACUAAUAAUAUUAAAAUGAGGCUAGUGUAGCUGAUGUUUAAGUUUUAUUUAAAAAUUUAAUUAAUUUAAAUGGUCUCAUGUGGUUAGUGGACAUAUUGGACAGCACUGGUAUGGACUAUGCCUGUGUUAUAAGUUUAGAGUGGGCAACAUCUUUGUGUCUAAAAAUCCAGCCACAGUUACUCUAUUCUUUCAUUCAGAAAAAAGUUUCAAAAAAAAAAAUACAAAUUCAGAGAUGUACGAAAGACAAAAGUUAAAAGCAUUUCAGUUGUAGAAGAGGGCUGAAAUUUUAGCAUACAAAACUUUAGUGUACUGUAACUGUCUUUACUGCUCAUUUUUUAGCCUUUUUUAAAAUCUAAAAAUAUUCUAAAAAAUCUGCUUUUGGAAUGUAAUGUAUAAGCAUUUAAAUCUGCCUGUCCAUUCUUCUUAUUGUAUUUAAAUGUUAAUUCAUAAGAUUGGGACAUAGUCCAAAAUUCAUAAAAAUGAUAACCUGUUGGCACAGAUUAAUAAAAAUAAUUACAACCAGGUCUGGACAGAGGUAAAGAUUUGACAAACUAAAGCAAGAUGUAUCUAAUCUCUUAAGUGCUCUAAACUCUAAUGGAGAAGUCCUUCAAAUUUUAGAAGUUGUCCCGUAGAGGAUGUUAACUUGAUGUAUGCUGGUUUGUCUUAUGAGUCAAGACAAAUCACAGAGUAAAAUAAUAAAUGUAAAGUCUGGGGAAUAAAGUUCUAAUGUAGUGAUUAUGAAAGAAGACCUCAGUUCAUUCUUUCUCUACAAUAUCACAUUUUGCAGGUACUUUGUGAGUGUAUAUAGCAAUAGAUACUAAAUGGGUCAGCUACCUUGAUAUAUGUUAAAUGACACCAGCAAAGUAGUUCCUAUUACUAAAAUUGAUUGGAUUCCAUUAUGUUUUAAUGUCUUCCUAAUUUAAAGCUCUAAAACAUGUAAUACAUCUUGUCAGGUGCUCCUGUCACACUGAUACCUGCUAUACAUGGAACAACCCCAUACUAUUAAUCACCUAGCCAACGUAUUAUUUCUGAUUUUAUAAAAUUUUAUAAAAUUUCAAACAGAAUGUUUCACCUCUCUAGCCUAAAAAUGUUUUGAUUAUUUUAACCAAAGUUUCACCAUUUUAUAGAACAUACAAUAUUGAUUAUGAGAAAUUUUUCACUGCCUGUGCCCCUGGAAGGUAGCAGAGCCACAGAUGAUCUAAAACAGAGUCUUAAAGCUCUUUUAAUAUUAACCCAAAUCACUGAUAUUUGACUUGGGAUGCAUUUUAUUUUUUAACCUCUUCGCAACUGCAUUUUUCUUAGACUGAUAUGAGAUUGUUUGUGGCUGAGAAGCUUGUCAAGUGUCAGGACUAAGAGAGUUUGGAAUUGCAAGUGGGAAAUAAAAUGACAGAUAAUUUAAAGUAUGCUUAUCAACCCAUCAUCAUUAGCGCUCUCUAUGAACUGUAUACAGGAGGCUGCUGUCUCUUCAAUGGAUUUUGACCAGCCACCAAGGUUUCCAGCAAAGUAAGGAAGGAUGCUAGCAGAAAUCUGGUUAAAGUAAGAUACCUGUUUCAAGAAAACAAAGUGAAACAAAACAGUAUUUUAAUUUCUUAUUCAUUGGAGCUUUUUCAAGCAAGGAUCUCAAUAUUGUUGGUGUAGGGGAGGCUAUGACCCCAACCCCUUGGAAAUGGAUCUGAAAGGAUGACCUGAAGAUUCCCUGGUGGGUGCGGGUGGACGCACAUUACAGAAUUACAGUUAAUUUAGUAAAUCCAGGUAAAUGGUUUCUCUGUAUCUGUAGGAGAAAAUUAAUGUGCAUGUUUCAUCGAACUUACGGUACAUGAACUGCUAUCAGAAGCAUGGAUGAGAAAUCCGGCACAUGUGAUUUCACUUCUGACAUACUGUGGAGAAGGUGGGACUGACGGCAGAAUCACCGACCUCACUGCCACCACGUAAGUGUGACUGAAAGAUAAAAGGACAGUUUCUAAGUUCUUGAGAGAAAUGAACAGUGAAUGAAAUAGUAAAUGGUGAAGAAAAGUAAAUUCCUAUAGUUAAUGCAACUCGUUUAUAUAGUAGAAGUAAAACUAUGAAGACCCAGAUAUUUUACAUGAGUGAUAUGCAUAAAAAACAUUCUCUAUGGCUACAUUCAAGUAUAGGAAAUAGUAAUAAGGGCCAUAGAUAUUUUCUGCCUAAAACUUAUGUAUGCUUUGCAUAACUGCAGAGCUGUAGUCAGACUCCAAACUUGUGUGUGUGUAUGCUCUAAUGGGUUGUUAUUUCCGUCUCUUCCACUUUUUUAAUGGAAAAAAUAAUACCAUUGUAUUAAAGAACCUUCAAACAAUCGGAACCCUGUACAUUAGAAAACAGAAGUCAUCCUUCAGUCUACCGUAACCACAGUAUAUUCCUAUCCUAGAGAUGAUCACCAAUAAAAUUAACAUUUUAUUGUGACCCUCCAGAUCUUUUUAUAAAUAACAUUUAUGUAAGCAAAUGGACAUAUUCAGAUUUUUACAUAAAUAUAACCAUUUUAUAAGUAUUGGUCUAUAAUUUGAUUUUUCAUGUAGUGAUAAAUCUUUAGAGGUGUUUCCUGUAUCAAUACCUCUAUAACUACUUCAUCCUUUUUAAUGCUGGUAUAGUAUUCUGGUAUAGUAUGGUUCUACUAUAAUUUAUAAGAUAGAGCUUCAGUUUAUUUCUAAAAUUUUUGCCAUAGUAGGUGAUAAUACACUGAACAUCUGUGUGCAUUAAUCCCAUCUGGGAGGGAUUUUUCUAUAGGCCAUUUUUGACAUCAAAAAUAUUGCUGACCAGUCUUGGGACCCUUCCCUUUAGAACCUUUUCUCUGAGAAGUCCAGUGCCCACGGAGAAGCCUUGAACAGACACACCGACUGAAAGCUAGCCAUUUUGGGUACAAAGCACAGUAAAGCCUUUGUAAAUUCUGAACCAAAACCAACUCCUAGUGUUUUAUUUGGCUCUCAUGGCAUUUUUACCAGUAAUAGAAGGCUUCAAAGAUUGGCUAAAUAUCAGUUUUACAUGUGCAUAGAAUAAAAGGAAAGUGAACUGCUUUAGGAGUCUUGCAUGAUGCUUUGCACAUGGCUGGCUUGUAAUAGUUUUUUUUAAUGAUAAGUAAAGCCUCAUCUAGAAAAAAAUAAUAUGAACAUCAUUCAAGACCAGAAAUGCUUACUCCAUUGACUUUCUUAUUUUCAUAUCAACUUUUUCUUUCUACUUUAUACUAUAAGACCUUGCUAUAACACUUGAGUUACACAUACUCACCCAUCUUCGAGUGGCCUUCUUCGUGAAACAAGUACUACCAAGUCUUUGGGUUUGUCAUUAUUCACCACAGAACAAGUGAUAUAAUAUAUCUGAUCAUCUUCACUUAUGCAGUCUAUGACUUCACAGGAUCUAUGUAAACAGAACAGUGACAGAAAGUCUACACUUUUCUACCUGGUAGAAUAAGGCAUGCCUUUCUUUUGUUUGUUUGCAUAACUUCAUUAUUGGUGUCCAUAUGCACCCUUUUGUUCACAUAACCAACUCCCCAAAGCCAGUAUCAUUUCUUAAAGUCUAUCUUUAGAGUUGUUUGGCCAGGAGGAAUAAUUCUGCCUGUGAUGAAGAGAACGCUGGCCAUCUAAGGUCACUGCCUUCAACAUUGCAGAGAAAGGAACAACAAAAAAUAUCACCAGACUGCUAGGCAAGUCAGCACUUCCUUUUCCCAUAAGACCUUGGAGCCACGGCUGCAGCCCAACAUCCCCAGGAUGUCAGGAGUGCCUUCAUUUGGGCUGAGGGGAUCCAGGAAGUAAGCCAACCCUUCUGGAUCCAACUCAACCUCUCAACAGGACUGCUGAACCAUAUUGUUCCUUCAGCACAAAGCAUUCUUUUUUUUUUUAGUGAAUCACAAGGGUCACAAGGGUGCUUUGAAGAUCGUGUUGAAAUUUGCCAUCUUAUAAUCAUUCCCAUGGAAAUAAGCAAUGAGAAGACAGACAAACAUAGGGUUGAGACUUCACUGCAGGCAUCAAGCAGAUGGAAGAAUCAGACUGUGAGGGAGAAAACCUUUAAACAUAAAUAUCUUUAAGCAGAGAAUGAAGAAAUGAGAAACUGACUAAAAGCAGCUUAGAAAGACAUGAGUAUGACUUUUACUGUGCUGCUCAGUGAGUGCUCAGAUGCCAGCAAUGAUGCAAGAAACAGAUUUCAUGUUAAUAAAAGAAAACAAGGUCUUGAGGCACCUUUUAUAAAGGAUAAUUGUAAGCAAGAACUUUGUUAUGUUAAACCUGUGUGCAUCACUGAAUCAAGCAUAGAUGGAAACCUAACUGGAUCCAAAGAAAAUAAAGAAGACCCUGAAAGGAUUCAGAAGUGAGCACUAAGACACAGUAAAAGCGAACAACCAAAGCCAAAACGUGUAGAGGAGGUCAAAGUCAGAGUGAAAACAAUUUAGUAUCUGAAUUUGCUUUUAUUUCAGGGUGAGUGACCAUAUAAUUUACUCAAACUGGAACACUUGGGCAUGGUUAAUAAUUAUGAUGGGACAACCAGGACUGUCCCAGGAAAACCACAACAUGUGGUAAUCCUGUUUUAGAGGCUACUGUUUCAGUGAUGAUGAAAAACAGUAUGCCCUGAAAUGUGAGCAUAGACAAAGUGUCGGCAUUAUUGAGCAUCUUCUGAAUGCCAGCUAGUGCUAUGUUCUGCAACUAUAGUGAUGGACAAAAUGGUCCUCAAAGAGCUUAUACUAUGUUUAGUGUGGGCAUCAGCUUCAAAGGAUCACCUGAUAUACCUCUGAAAGUAGAUGAAAUUCAAAUGAUACACAUUUAUUUAAAUUUGAUGACAUGCAAAAGCAUUGUAAAAGGUGCUGAGAUACAAAAAAGUCAAGAUAAGGCUGCUUUCUUAAGAUGUUUAUAAUCUAGUUAAGGGAAAAGACCAUUCGUAAAAUUACUGUGCAAGACAAAUAUCAACUCAGUGUGGCUGUGGAGUGUCAUGAGAUAAUGCAUAAUUAAUUGACAAGUUAAUUAUAAAUAAGUAAUUCUUAAAGGAGUUCCUAAAGCAGUAAUUUCCUUCAGUAGGAGAUGAUUGGCUUUAUGGAGAAGCAUUUGUCCCAGGUCUUGAAGACCAGGUAGGUCUGGGGUAGAUAGAGAAGAGGAGAAAGAGAUGGAAUAUGAGAACUAAGCUCAGAGGUAGGAAUGUGUAGGGUGAUUUGAAGGCCCUUAGAUCAGCCCAGGUAGGGGAAUAGAGACAGGGCUGGAAAGAUACUUGACUCUUAAAAAAAUUUUCCCCAAAGACUUUUUUACCUUUUUAAAAAUUGAAAUAUAGUUCAUUUAUAAUAUUCUGUUAGUUUUGGGUAUAUAACAUACUGAUUUAAUAUUUUUAUAGAUUAUACUCCUAUAUAUAUGACUAUAUAUGAAUGUAAGUGUAUAUUGAUACACUACAUACCCAGUAGUAGAAUUGCUGAAUCAUAUGGUUGUUCUGCAGUAUUUUCAGUUUUCUGAGGAAUUUCUAUACUGUUUUCCAUAGUGGUUGUACCAGUCUACAUUUCCACAAAUGUGUAAUAGGGUUCCCUUUUCUCUGCAUCUUCACCAAUAUUUAUUUGUGGUCUUUUUGAUGAUAGGUGUAAAGUGAUAACUCAUUGUGGUUUUGAUUUAUAUGUCUCUGAUGAUUCAGAUUGUUGAGCCUCUUUUUAUGUGCCUGUUAGCCAUCUGUAUGUCUUUGGAAAAAUAUCUAUUCAGGUCUUAGCCAAUUUUUUAAUUGGGUUGUUUGGUUUUCUUAUAUUGAGUUAUAUGAGCUGUUUAUAUAUUUUGGAGGUUAACCCCAUAUAGGUUAUAUCAUUUGCAAAUAUUUUCCUCCAUUCAGCAGGUUGUUUUUUCAUUUUGCUGAUGAUUUCUCUUGCUGUGCAAAAAUUUUUAAGCUUAAUUAGGUCCUCUUUUUUUUGUUGUUGUUUCUGUUUCCUUUGCUUAGAAGAUAGAUGCAAAAAAUAUUGAUAUGAUUUAUGUUAAAGAGUAUUUCAUUUUAAUGUAUUUUCUGCUAGGAGUUUUAUGGUUUCCACUCUUAGCUCUUUAAUCUGUUUUGAGUUUACUUUUACAUAUGGUUUGAGAUGUUUUAAUUUCAUCCUUUUACUACAGUUGCACAGUUUUCCCAGUGCCACUUAUUGAAGAGACUUCUGCAAUUGUAUCUUCUUGCCCUCUUGUCAUAAAUGUAUUGACCAUGAAUGCAUGGGUUUAUCUGGGGGCUCACUAUUUUGUCCCGUUGUUAUAUGUGUCUGUUUUGGUGCAGUACCUUACUGUUUUGAUUACUGCAGCUUUGCAAUGUAUUCUAAAAGCAGGGUGUAUGAUACCUCCAACUUUGUUCUUUUUUUUCUCAGGAUUGAUUUGGCUAUUUGGAGUCUUUUGUGGUUCCAUACAAAUUUUAGUAUUAUUUGUUCUAGUUCUUUGAAAAAUGUCAUGGGUAUAUGGGUAGAGUUUGUAUUAAAUCUGCAGAUUAUUUUGAUAGUAUGGUCAUUUUAGCAAUAUUAAUUCUUCCAAUCCAUGAACACUGUAUUUUUCCAUUUCUUUAUAUUUUUAUUUCUUUAUAUCAAUUUUUUCAGUGUUUUAUAGUUUUCAGAGACUAUGUUUCUCACCUGUUUAAUUAAGUUUACUUCUAGGUAUUUUUUUUUUCUUUGUUAUGUGACUUUAAUGGGUUGUUUUCUUGAUUUUUCAUUCUGAUAGUUCAUUGUUUGUGUACAGCAAUAAAACAGAUUUCUGUAUAUUAGUCUUGUAUCCUGCAACUUUUCCUGAAUUCAUUUAUUAAUUCCAAUAGUUUGUUUUAUUGGGUUUUCUUAAUAUAGUAUCAUGUUGUCUGAAACAAGAGAUAGUUUUACUUCUUCCCUUCCAAUUUGAAUGUCUUUUAUUUCUUUUUCUUGUCUGAUUGCUGUGGCUAGAAUUACCAAUAAUAUGUUACAUAAAGGGUGUCUUAUUCCUGAUUUUAGAGGGAAAGCUUUUACCUUUUUAUUAUUGAGUAUGAUAUUAGCUUUAAUUUUAUCAUAUAUGAUCUUUAUUAUAUUGAAAUAUGUUUCUUUCAUACCAGUUUGGAUGAGAGUUAUUAUCAUGAAUGGAUGUUGAGUUUUGUCAGAUGCUUUUUAUGCAUUUAUUGAGAUGAUCAUAUGAUUUUUAUCCUUCCUAUUGUUAAUGUGGUAUAUCACACUGACUCAUUUGUAAAUAUUAACCCAUUUUUGUAUCCCUGGAAUAAAUCCCAUUUAAUCCUGGUGUAUGAUCCCCUUUUUUUAUAUUUUUGGAUUCAGCUUGCUAAUAUUUUGUU